GUGGGGAAUAUUGGACAAUGGGCGAAAGCCUGAUCCAGCCAUGCCGCGUGUGUGAAGAAGGUCUUCGGAUUGUAAAGCACUUUAAGUUGGGAGGAAGGGCAGUAAGUUAAUACCUUGCUGUUUUGACGUUACCGACAGAAUAAGCACCGGCUAACUUCGUGCCAGCAGCCGCGGUAAUACGAAGGGUGCAAGCGUUAAUCGGAAUUACUGGGCGUAAAGCGCGCGUAGGUGGUUUUGUAAGUUGAAGGUGAAAUCCCCGGGCUCAACCUGGGAACUGCCUCCAAAACUGCAUGACUAGAGUACGGUAGAGGGUAGUGGAAUUUCCUGUGUAGCGGUGAAAUGCGUAGAUAUAGGAAGGAACACCAGUGGCGAAGGCGACUACCUGGACUGAUACUGACACUGAGGUGCGAAAGCGUGGGGAGCAAACAGGAUUAGAAACCCGGGUAGUCC
rnacentral:rRNA from 1 species